GACGAACGCUGGCGGCGUGCUUAACACAUGCACGUCGAACGAGUGGCGAACGGGUGAGUAACACGUGGGUGACCUGCCCUGCACUUCGGGAUAAGCCUGGGACACUGGGUCUACUACCGGAUCGUGUGGGAUGGGCCCGCGGCCUAUACGCUUGUUGGUGGGGGAAUGGCUACCAAGGCGCGACGGGUAGCCGGACUGAGCGGGUGGACGGCCACAUUGGGACUGAGACACGGCCCAGACUCCUACGGGAGGCAGAAGUGGGGAAUAUUGCACAAGGGGCGGAAGCCUGAUGCAGCCAUGCCGCGUGUAUGAAGAAGGCCUUAGGGUUGUAAAGUACUUUCAGCGGGGAGGCGUUACCCGCAGAAGAAGCACCGGCUAACUCCGUGCCAGCAGCCGCGGUAAUAC
rnacentral:rRNA from 1 species